rnacentral:rRNA from 1 species
GACGAACGCUGGCGGCGUGCUUAACACAUGCAAGUCGAACGGAAAGGCCCUGCUUUUGUGGGGUGCUCGAGUGGCGAACGGGUGAGUAACACGUGAGUAACCUGCCCUUGACUUUGUGAUAACUUCAGGAAACUGGGGCUAAUACCGGAUAGGAGCUCCUGCUGCAUGGUGUGGGUUGGAAAGUUUCGGCGGUUGGGGAUGGACUCGCGGCUUAUCAGCUUGUUGGUGGGGUAGUGGCUUACCAAGGCUUUGACGGGUAGCCGGCCUGAGAGGGUGACCGGCCACAUUGGGAGUGAGAUACGGACCAGACUCCUACGGGAGGCAGCAGUGGGGAAUAUUGCACAAUGGGCGGAAGCCUGAUGCAGAAACGCCGCGUGCGGGAUGACGGCCUUCGGGUUGUAAACCGCUUUCGCCUGUGACGAAGCGUGAGUGACGGUAAUGGGUAAAGAAGCACCGGCUAACUACGUG